GCGGCAGGCUUAACACAUGCAAGUCGAGGGGCAGCGCGAGUAGCAAUACUUGGCGGCGACCGGCGCAAGGGUGCGUAACGCGUGAGCAACAUGCCCGUAUCAGGGGGAUAAUCCAGGGAAACUUGGUCUAAUACCCCAUAGUAAUUUUGUAAGGCAUCUUAUAAGAUUUAAAGCUUUGGUGGAUACGGAUUGGCUCGCGUGACAUUAGCUGGAUGGUAAGGUAACGGCUUACCAUGGCUAUGAUGUCUAGGGGUUCUGAGAGGAAGGUCCCCCCACACUGGAACUGAGACACGGUCCAGACUCCUACGGGAGGCAGCAGUGAGGAAUAUUGGACAAUGGAUGGAAAUCUGAUCCAGCCAUGCCGCGUGAAGGGAAAGAAGGUCCUAUGGAUUGUAAACUUCUUUUGUAUGGGAGCAAUAAGGCCUACGAGUAGGUUGAUGAGAGUACCAUACGAAUAAGCACCGGCUAACUCCGUGCCAGCAGCGGC
rnacentral:rRNA from 1 species